rnacentral:misc_RNA from 1 species
UCUCCGUAGGUGAACCUGCGGAGGGAUCAUUACAGAGUUCGUGCCCUCGCGGGUAGAUCUCCCACCCUGUGUUAUUGCUACCCUUGCUGCUUUGGCGGGCCGCCCCCGGCUACCGGCCCCGGCUGGUACGCGCCCGCCAGAGGACCCCAAACCCUGAACGUCAGUGUCGUCUGAGUACUAUACAAUAGUUAAAACUUUCAACAACGGAUCUCUUGGUUCUG